rfam:Oryza rufipogon genomic scaffold, chr02
AAAAAGAUAAACCUUGAGUUUUCGUGUUUAAUUUUAACUGUUCGUCUUAUAUAAUUUUUUUUAUAAUUCGUAUUUUUAUUAUUGUUAGAUGAUAAAACAUGAUUAAUAUUUUAUGCGUGACUUGUUUUUUUAAUUUUUUUAUAAUUUUUUUAAAUAAGACGGAUGGUCAAAUGUUAUAUACGAAAAUCAGGGUUUAUCUUUUU